rnacentral:rRNA from 1 species
AUGCACCAGACGCCGCCAUACCCAGGCGCAGCGGAGGGCGCCGUUCCUUCUAGUUCGAUGGAUGCGCCUCUUACCGAGGAAAGAAGGGCGGCUAGGCGAGUUCGCCGGAGGGUUUGCUCCUCUGGCUUGCCAACUUCUCUGAACCAUGGCGAGUCAGACAAUGCACAAGAAACGAGCACACAUUCCACCGAGAUAUCAAGCAGUGAUUGCUAUACUCAGUUGUCAAGUGAAAGUUCAGACGAAGGAUGCGAAAAUAGAAGCUCAGGCCAUCGCAGAAAACGACGCAAGACAUCUGUCAUAUCCUCUGCAUCCGAGCAAUCAGGGCAAGACAGUCCUUCUGCAUGCGAGUCUCUUGAGUCGGAUGAUGUUCAGAUAACUCCAGGGAAAGAUUAUGUGUUACCGCAAAGGUGUGAUCUAUCUGACGCAGAAAAGAAUAGAGUAGUUGCGCUUAUAAAGGAAAUCAAAGCUAAAGUUACUGUUUUUGUGGCUAUCAUGUUCAGGUCUUACUCUUCAUAUGUGACCAUUCCUAAGGAAUAUGCUGCUGUGCACUUUCCACAUGAAAGUGCAACCAUCACGCUUCGGAGUCCAGGCAAGAACAAGAAGUGGCAUCCCAGAUUCUACAAGAAAGGAACUAUGAUCAAGCUCACGGGCAGUUGGAUACACUUUGUGCGUGACAAUGACGUGCAUGAGGGAGAUAUCUGCAUUUUUGUACCGGCAAAAGGUGGAAAACCAUUCAUGUUUACAGUCCAUCUACUUCGCAAAGAAACAACUGAUUCUCAAACUGAAGUUUCUCAUGAAUCUUCGGAGUGUGAGGACUCUCAUGGUCAGCCGCCCUACAUUUUACCAUAUGGAGCCCGUCUAUCUCCCUCUCAGAGGAGUGCUGUUCAAAAGAAAGUGGACUCCAUCCAAUCUGAAGUUCCAAUUUACGUGUCAAUCAUGACAAAGAGCAACCUUGGUUCCAGACACAUGGAAUUGAGUAAACGAUAUGCCGCUGAACAUCUUCCCCACAGAAAUGUAACUUUGAUGUUCCAGUACAUGGGAAAGAUAUGGAAUAUCAAUAUGUUGUUUCAUGAUCGGAAGUACCCCAAAAGGUGGUACCUUAUCGGAGGUUGGUCCAAAUUUAUCUCUGACAACAGUCUGCGAUUAGGAGAUAUCUGUCUCUUUGAACUGAAAAAGGACGAGAAGGAGCUUACCGUGAUAGUCCAUCUACUUCGCAAAGAGAGUAUUGAUCACCCCUCUGGUGGAAGUCCUGUUCUGGACUCGAAUUAUGUGAGGGCAAGCACAAUGAUUGCCUCAACAGUGCGUGUUGGGGAGGAGCCAGAUGACGAAGAAGAAACCGCCUCUUCAGGGCGUGAAGAACAAGGAUUCCAUGAUGAGCCUAUCGAGCAUAACCAUUCCGAGGGAGCCUCUAAGGCACACAUGCCUACUGCUCCAUGCUCAGAGAGUAACGCGUCUGGAAUCAGCCCGUCAUCGGAAGCUAGAGAGCAAGCUGCUGGUUGUUCAAACAAAAGUUUUGCAACAGAAUUUCCAAAUAAGCUUAGCUCCACUAUGGAACACAACAGGAUUAUCCACACUGACAGAGCGGCAGCAUCAGAAGUUAUUGGUUUGUCAGAUUACAGGAUCCACAACAGUUGUGAUAGUAUUGAUUCACAAGGAGGAGAGUCUCUUGCUGUUCAACAGCAAUCGAGUCCUAGUCCUGAAAUUGGCAAUUCAGUUAAUCGGGAUUCUUCAAGUGUUACAGGCCAGAAUGGUGUUGCUUUACAGUCAUUAGUAAGAGUUACAGGCCAGCAGGUAGGCGAUGCUGAAAAGGAAGUUAAUGCCAGCGGUGGAGAAAAUACUCUUGCAGAUCUACGUCAUUUAGAGCCUCAAAAUGCGGCAGCUGUGCCCAGCCAGGCUGCCUUGCCCAUGCCUAAGGAAAAAACUGAUACACAGACAAAUCGAUCUGCCCAACCAGAUGUAGCGCAAGCACAACCUCCACAAGGAGAGGUAGAGCAAGCAGGUCUGUCUGGUGUGGCAUCGCCUCAGCCUUUACAACCAGCACAACUUGCGCAAGGAGAGGCAGAACAAGAUCUAUCUGGUGUAGCUUUGCCUUCACAACCUGAAACCCGACCGUCAAUAUCUGGGUUUGUCAAAACUCGGUCCAAUCUUGAAACUCAGUCUGUCCAACAAAGUAUAGCACCCGUACAAUUUCCACAAGAACAAGCAGGUCUGUCUGGUGUAGCAUCUGCUCAGCCUUUGGUGCCUGAAAUGCGGCCAUCAAACCCCUUGUCAAAUAUUCCGCUUGAAAGAGCACACCCAAAUCGGGGUCAAUCAAGUCGUCAACCAGAGGUCGCAGCUGGUCCUGCCCAGCCUGCACAACUCUUUCCGGUGCCGUCGAUGAUGUUUAAUCACCCACCAAUUGGUGAUGAACCACUGAAAAAUGAGCUGCACAGGUUACGGUUACACAUUGACUCACUUGAUAAAAUCUAUGAAUUAAAGCAAUCACAGCUUCAGACAGAGUGCAGCCAAGAAAUUGAGAAGAUAAAACAAAAGUAUGAUUUGUUACUUGAGGAACGGGAUUCUGUUCACCUUGAGCAAAUGAAGACACUUGAUGGUUUAUUGGAGAAAGUUGUCUUCCACCAAUCACUAGCUGCCGAUUUCCGAGCGAAAUUCAUAUCAUCAUCUGCAGCACAAGCAAAAGCCUAUAGCCGUCCAAUUCAUCAGACACCCCAGGCUUCUCAGCAAGCACCCAUGAGGCCGCCAGGUGUGACAUCGAUUUCGCCGCCAGUUGCGUGGUCAUCAGCUGGUCGACCAGUAGUGCCGGGAGGUGCACAGCCAUCACAGGUGGAUCGACCAUCAACGCCGGCAUCAUCACAGGUGCCUCGUCCGCCAUUGCCAUCUACACCAGUAGUCCGGCCUCCCAUAAACCCUGGCAACCUUGUCAGAACAACAGGUGCUCCCAUGCCUCGAGUUCCACCACGUGGAAGCCAUGGAGUUCCGAGUGCAUCCGCUCCUCAUCUUCAGCGCAGAUUGCCGCCUCGGGCGCAUUCCACGGCCCCUGCAAAUCAGAGGCAGCAGCAGCAGCAGCAUGCCACAUCUGUAAGCCCGCAGUCUUCACAUGCAGUUCCCCCUGUGAGCUCAUCACCCUUGCCGCCGUCAAGUUCACAAGCAACUCACCAUGGUUCGUCGACUCGGAUGGAUGUGGAUGUGGUAUGCCUGUCUGAUGAUGAGUGA